UCGGAUAUGGUGUAACGGCUAACAUUGCCGCCUCUCAUGAAUGUGAGCGCGGCAGCUCGGGGUUCGAUUCCCCGUAUCCGAA